rnacentral:rRNA from 1 species
AAGUCGAGCGGGCGUAGCAAUACGUCAGCGGCAGACGGGUGAGUAACGCGUGGGAACAUACCUUUUGGUUCGGAACAACACAGGGAAACUUGUGCUAAUACCGGAUAAGCCCUUACGGGGAAAGAUUUAUCGCCGAAAGAUUGGCCCGCGUCUGAUUAGCUAGUUGGUGAGGUAACGGCUCACCAAGGCGACGAUCAGUAGCUGGUCUGAGAGGAUGAUCAGCCACAUUGGGACUGAGACACGGCCCAAACUCCUACGGGAGGCAGCAGUGGGGAAUAUUGGACAAUGGGCGCAAGCCUGAUCCAGCCAUGCCGCGUGAGUGAUGAAGGCCCUAGGGUUGUAAAGCUCUUUUGUGCGGGAAGAUAAUGACGGUACCGCAAGAAUAAGCCCCGGCUAACUUCGUGCCAGCAGCCGCGGUAAUACGAAGGGGGCUAGCGUUGCUCGGAAUCACUGGGCGUAAAGGGUGCGUAGGCGGGUCUUUAAGUCAGGGGUGAAAUCCUGGAGCUCAACUUCAGAACUGCCUUUGAUACUGAAGAUCUUGAGUUCGGGAGAAGUGAGUGGAACUGCCAGUGUAGAGGUGAAAUUCGUAGAUAUUCCAAGAACACCAAUGGCAAAGCGG